rnacentral:tRNA from 1 species
CAAAUUAGAGCUUGAUUAAGCAUUUUAGUUACAUUAAAAAGAUAGUUUUAAACUUAAUUUGA